GGGAAACCCCAUGUAUCGUAAAGUGAAUACAUAGCUUUAUGAAGGUAAACCCAGGGAACUGAAACAUCUAAGUACCUGGAGGAAGAGAAAGAAAAAUCGAUUUUCUUAGUAGCGGCGAGCGAAAGGGAAAGAGCCCAAACCAAAGAUUUAUCUUUGGGGUUGCGGACAGAACAUUAACGAGAAAUUAUGGUUAACCGAACACAACUGGAAAGUUGGACCGUAGGGGGUAAUAGUCCUGUAGGUGAAAAUUAUAAUGAUCAAGUUCUGAUCCAGAGUACCACGAGACACGUGAAACCUUGUGGGAAGCAGGGAGGACCACCUCCCAAGGCUAAAUACUACCUGAUGACCGAUAGUGAAGCAGUACCGUGAGGGAAAGGUGAAAAGAACCCCGGGAGGGGAGUGAAAUAGAACCUGAAACCAUGUGCCUACAACCGAUCAAAGCACCUUAUGUGUGUGAUGAUGUGCUUUUUGUAGAACGAGCCAACGAGUUACGGUAUGUAGCAAGGUUAAGUACUUAAGGUACGGAGCCGAAGGGAAACCGAGUCUUAAUAGGGCGACUAGUUGCAUGCUGUAGACCCGAAACCGGGUGACCUAUCCAUGGCCAGGUUGAAGCGAGGGUAAAACCUCGUGGAGGACCGAACCACGUUGCUGUUGAAAAAGCAUGGGAUGAGCUGUGGAUAGCGGAGAAAUUCCAAUCGAACUCGGAUAUAGCUGGUUCUCCUCGAAAUAGCUUUAGGGCUAGCGUCGGAAAAUGUGAGUACUGGGGGUAGAGCACUGAAUGGGCUAGGGGGCAUAGCGCUUACCGAACCUUAUCAAACUCCGAAUACCAGAUACUAUCAGUCCGGCAGUCAGACUGCGAAAGAUAAGUUCCGUAGUCAAAAGGGAAACAGCCCAGAUCGUCAGCUAAGGUCCCAAAGUGUAAGUUAAGUGGAAAAGGAUGUGGGAUUUCUAAGACAACUAGGAUGUUGGCUUAGAAGCAGCCACUCAUUAAAAGAGUGCGUAAUAGCUCACUAGUCAAGAGAUCCUGCGCCGAAAAUGUCCGGGGCUCAAACUUACCACCGAAGCUACGGGUUCACACAAUAGUGUGAGCGGUAGAGGAGCGUCGUAAUCGGGCUGAAGUCGUACCGUAAGGAGCGGUGGACUGAUUACGAGUGAGAAUGUUGGCAUUAGUAGCGAGAUGUGGGUGAGAAUCCCACAGGCCGAAUACCUAAGGUUUCCUCAGGAAGGUUCGUCCGCUGAGGGUUAGUCGGGACCUAAGCUGAGGCCGAAAGGCGUAAGCGAUGGACAAUCGGUUGAUAUUCCGAUACCACUAUUAUCGUUAUUAUCGAUGGUGUGACGGAGAAGGAUAGGAUGUGCUAGCUAUUGGAUGCUAGUCUAAGCGUUUAGGGAGUUAGGAUAGGCAAAUCCGUUCUAACAAUUCUGAGGCGUGAUGGGGAAGGUUCUAAGGAACCGAAGUAUCUGAUUCCAUGCUUCCAAGAAAAGCAUCUAGAAAGAGAAAUAGUGCCCGUACCGCAAACCGACACAGGUAGGUGAGGAGAGAAUCCUAAGGCCGGCGGAAGAAUUGCAGUUAAGGAACUAGGCAAAUUGACCCCGUAACUUCGGGAGAAGGGGUGCCUGCGAGAGCAGGCCGCAGAGAAUAGGCACAAGCAACUGUUUAACAAAAACACAGGUCUCUGCUAAAGCGAAAGCUGAUGUAUAGGGGCUGACGCCUGCCCGGUGCUGGAAGGUUAAGGGGAACACUUAGCGUAAGCGAAGGUGUGAACUUAAGCCCCAGUAAACGGCGGCCGUAACUAUAACGGUCCUAAGGUAGCGAAAUUCCUUGUCAGGUAAGUUCUGACCCGCACGAAUGGCGUAAUGACUUGUGCACUGUCUCAACUGCAAAUCCGGCGAAGUUGUAGUGCGAGUGAAGAUGCUCGCUACCCGCGAUUGGACGGAAAGACCCCGUAGAGCUUUACUGUAGCUUAGCAUUGAAUUUCGGUAUUGUCUGUACAGGAUAGGUGGGAGACUGGGAAAUCAGAGCGUCAGCUUUGAUGGAGUCAUCCUUGGGAUACCACCCUGAUAGUACUGGAAUUCUAACUGGAUGCCAUGAAUCUGGUGACAGGACAUUGUUAGGUGGGCAGUUUGACUGGGGCGGUCGCCUCCUAAAAAGUAACGGAGGCGCCCAAAGGUUCCCUCAGAACGGUCGGAAAUCGUUCGUAGAGUGCAAAGGCAUAAGGGAGCCUGACUGCGAGACCUACAAGUCGAGCAGGGA
rnacentral:rRNA from 1 species